AACGAACGCUGGCGGCAGGCUUAACACAUGCAAGUCGAGCGAGACCUUCGGGUCUAGCGGCGGACGGGUGAGUAACGCGUGGGAACGUGCCCUUCUCUACGGAAUAGCCCCGGGAAACUGGGAGUAAUACCGUAUACGCCCUUUGGGGGACAGAUUUAUCGGAGAAGGAUCGGCCCGCGUUGGAUUAGGUAGUUGGUGGGGUAAUGGCCCACCAAGCCGACGAUCCAUAGCUGGUUUGAGAGGAUGAUCAGCCACACUGGGACUGAGAACACGGCCCAGACUCCUACGGGAGGCAGCAGUGGGGAAUCUUAGACAAUGGGGGCAACCCUGAUCUAGCCAUGCCGCGUGAGUGAUGAAGGCCUUAGGGUUGUAAAGCUCUUUCAGCUGGGAAGAUAAUGACGGUACCAGCAGAAGAAGCCCCGGCUAACUCCGUGCCAGCAGCCGCGGUAACAC
rnacentral:rRNA from 1 species